rnacentral:tRNA from 1 species
ACCUAGCUGGCUCAGUCAGUAGAGCAUGCAACUCUUGAUCUCAGGGUUGUGAGUUCAAGCCCUACGUUGGGCA